UACGUAGGGUGCGAGCGUUAAUCGGAAUUACUGGGCGUAAAGCGUGCGCAGGCGGUUAUGUAAGACAGGUGUGAAAUCCCCGGGCUUAACCUGGGAACUGCAUUUGUGACUGCAUAGCUAGAGUACGGUAGAGGGGGAUGGAAUUCCGCGUGUAGCAGUGAAAUGCGUAGAUAUCGGAAGGAACACCAGUGGCGAAAGCGGCUUCCUGGUCCAGCACCGACGUUCAGGCACGAAAGCGUGGGGAGCAAACAGG
rnacentral:rRNA from 1 species